UGGGGAAUAUUGGGCAAUGGGGGAAACCCUGACCCAGCGACGCCGCGUGGGUGAUGAAGGCCUUCGGGUCGUAAAGCCCUGUCGGGCGGAACGAAGGCUCUCACGGCAAAGAGCCGUGAGAGGUGACGGUACCGCCGAAGGAAGCACCGGCCAACUCCGUGCCAGCAGCCGCGGUAAGACGGAGGGUGCAAGCGUUGCUCGGAAUCACUGGGCGUAAAGGGUGCGUAGGCGGUCUCGCAAGUCUGGCGUGAAAGCCCAAGGCUCAGCCUUGGAAGUGCGCUCGAAACUGCGAGGCUGGAGUGCCGGAGGGGAGAGUGGAAUUCCCGGUGUAGCGGUGAAAUGCGUAGAGAUCGGGAGGAAUACCGGUGGCGAAAGCGACUCUCUGGACGGCAACUGACGCUGAGGCACGAAAGCGUGGGGAGCAAACAGGAUUAGAUACCCCCGUAGUCC
rnacentral:rRNA from 1 species